AUGCUGAAUUUGCUGGUAAGCUUUUGUUUUGGUGCAUUUCUGGACGUGGCGAUCUUGAUGUCGAAAUGCGUGAACGCUUUGCGUGAUUUGCCUCUAGAUGUUUAUUAUAGAUGUUGCUGUCUCCCGGGCGUGAGUUCACUUCUAGUUUUCAGAUGGUGCCUGCUGGAGUUUAUUCUUCUAGCAGCUGCUGAAUGCCGAGGUAAACUGAAUACCAUAUCUGGUGAGAUGGAAGCAUGGGUAGCGCGCACGUUGCUGAUGCGGGAAAUUGUUGUCUUUUUUGGGAGGGUAAACUGGGAUAUGCUGAAUUUUUGUUGGUAA
rnacentral:rRNA from 1 species